AUCUUGGGCAACCUUGCAAGAGAGAUUUUGAAGAUGGUGACAUUUCUAUAAACCAUGGUUACAUUGAGAAGAUCCCCCAACCCUAUACAACCACCUAUUGAACUUUACAUGAGCAAGAAAUCAGGCAUAAGGCAGAGGGUUUGGAAUCCAUACCAAAAGGAGGGAAAAACAACUCUACUUGGACACAGAGCAGUCCAGGUCACCGUGCCCAGGAGUUCAAGUCCUACUUCCCAGCUCUUGUACCACUUCCCAACUCUUGUCUGUUAGGAACAAGAGUAGUCAGAACCAGGGACCUGAUGAGCCCCUGGAGCCAAGAGGGGAGCCAGGCCGCU